rnacentral:rRNA from 1 species
UUCCUACGGGACGCAGCAGUGAGGAAUAUUGGUCAAUGGGCGGGAGCCUGAACCAGCCAUGCCGCGUGAAGGCGAGUGCCCUACGGGCGUUAAACUUCUUUUGUGCGGGAGCAAUAAGGGCCACGUGUGGCCCGAUGAGAGUACCGCACGAAUAAGCAUCGGCUAACUCCGUGCCAGCAGCCGCGGUAAUACGGGGGAUGCGAGCGUUAUCCGGAUUUAUUGGGGUUAAAGGGUGCGUAGGCGGUUUUUUAAGUUAGUGGUUAAACGUCGGGGCUUCACCUUGAUUUGCCAUUAAUACUGUAAGA